rnacentral:rRNA from 1 species
UACGUAGGUGACAAGCGUUGUCCGGAUUUACUGGGCGUAAAGAGCGCGCAGGCGGUCGUUCAAGUCGAGUGUGAAAGCCCCCGGCUCAACUGGGGAGGGUCAUUCGAUACUGAUCGACUCGAAGGCAGGAGAGGGUAGUGGAAUUCCCGGUGUAGUGGUGAAAUGCGUAGAUAUCAGGAAGAACACCCGUGGCGAAGGCGGCUCUCUGGGACGUGACUGACGCUGAGACGCGAAAGCGUGGGGAGCGAACAGG